UUGCUUUGGCAGCACAUAUGCUAAAAUUGGAACGAUACAGAGAAGAUUAGCAUGACCUCUGCGCAAGUGUGAUAUGCAAAUUCAUGAAGCGUUCCAUAUUUUA
rnacentral:snRNA from 1 species